rnacentral:rRNA from 1 species
UACGGAGGGGGCUAGCGUUGUUCGGAAUUACUGGCGUAAAGCGCGCGUAGGCGGCUUUGCAAGUUAGAGGUGAAAGCCCGGAGCUUAACUCCGGAACUGCCUUUAAAACUGCAUCGCUAGAAUCGUGGAGAGGUGAGUGGAAUUCCGAGUGUAGAGGUGAAAUUCGUAGAUAUUCGGAAGAACACCAGUGGCGAAGGCGACUCACUGGACACGUAUUGACGCUGAGGUGCGAAAGCGUGGGGAGCAAACAGGG